CCUACGGGUGGCAGCAGUGAGGAAUAUUGGUCAAUGGACGAGAGUCUGAACCAGCCAAGUAGCGUGAAGGAUGACUGCCCUAUGGGUUGUAAACUUCUUUUAUAUGGGAAUAAAACGUUCCACGUGUGGGAUUUUGUAUGUACCAUAUGAAUAAGGAUCGGCUAACUCCGUGCCAGCAGCCGCGGUAAUACGGAGGAUCCGAGCGUUAUCCGGAUUUAUUGGGUUUAAAGGGAGCGUAGGUGGAUUGUUAAGUCAGUUGUGAAAGUUUGCGGCUCAACCGUAAAAUUGCAGUUGAAACUGGCAGUCUUGAGUACAGUAGAGGUGGGCGGAAGUUGUGGUGUAGCGGUGAAAUGCUUAGAUAUCACGAAGAACUCCGAUUGCGAAGGCAGUUCACUGGACUGCAACUGACACUGAGGCUCGAAAGUGUGGGUAUCAAACAGGAUUAGAUACCCUAGUAGUC
rnacentral:rRNA from 1 species